GCGCCCGUAGCUCAAUGGAUAGAGCAUUUGGCUUCGGACCAAAGGGUUGGGGGUUCGACUCCCUCUGGGCGCG
rnacentral:tRNA from 1 species